CCUACGGGAGGCAGCAGUGGGGAAUCUUGCGCAAUGGGCGAAAGCCUGACGCAGCAACGCCGCGUGCGGGAAGAAGGCUUUCGGGCUGUAAACCGCUUUCAGCAGGAACGAAAAUGACGGUACCUGCAGAAGAAGGAGCGGCCAACUAUGUGCCAGCAGCCGCGGUGAUACAUAGGCUUCAAGCGUUGUCCGGAUUUAUUGGGCGUAAAGAGUUCGUAGGCGGUCAAGUAAGUCGGGUGUGAAAAUUCUGGGCUCAACCCAGAGACGCCACCCGAUACUGCUUAACUUGAGUUCGAUAGGGGAGUGGGGAGUUCCUAGUGUAGCGGUGAAAUGCGCAGAUAUUAGGAGGAACACCGGUGGCGAAGGCGCCACUCUGGAUCGAUACUGACGCUGAGGAACGAAAGCAUGGGUAGCAAACAGGAUUAGAUACCCUGGUAGUCCAUGCCGUAAACGGUGGGCACUAGGUGUGGGUUUCUAUUAACGAAAUCCGCGCCGUCGCUAACGCAUUAAGUGCCCCGCCUGGGGGAGGUACGGUCGCGAGACGUAAACUACAAAUAGAAGUUAAGUACGGCGUUGAGACGUUGCCGAACGGCGACGACGAGGGGAGGUUAGG
rnacentral:rRNA from 1 species